rnacentral:rRNA from 1 species
CACGUAGGCACCAAGCGUUGUCCGGAUUUAUUGGGCGUAAAGAGCUCGUAGGCGGUUCGGUAAGUCGGGUGUGAAAACUCUGGGCUCAACCCAGAGCCGCCACCCGAUACUGCUGUGACUUGAGUUCGGUAGGGGAGCGGGGAAUUCCUGGUGUAGCGGUGAAGUGCGCAGAUAUCAGGAGGAACACCAGUGGCGAAGGCGCCGCUCUGGGCCGACACUGACGCUGAGGAGCGAAAGCGUGGGUAGCAAACAGG